rnacentral:rRNA from 1 species
UACGUAGGUGGCAAGCGUUAUCCGGAAUUAUUGGGCGUAAAGCGCGCGCAGGCGGUUUCUUAAGUCUGAUGUGAAAGCCCACGGCUCAACCGUGGAGGGUCAUUGGAAACUGGGAGACUUGAGUGCAGAAGAGGAAAGUGGAAUUCCAUGUGUAGCGGUGAAAUGCGUAGAGAUAUGGAGGAACACCAGUGGCGAAGGCGACUUUCUGGUCUGUAACUGACACUGAGGCGCGAAAGCGUGGGGAGCAAACAGG